ensembl:misc_RNA 7SK 7SK RNA
GGGUGUGGAGGCAGUCUAACCGCAACAUCUGUCUUCCAUUGAUCGCCAGGGUUAAUUUGGCUGAUCUGGCUGGAUAAGUGGGUGUCCCCUUCCUCCCUCACUGCUCCAUGUAUGUCACUCCUGAAGUCAUGUGCUUUGUUGAAGCACAUGAGAAGGAGGACCAUUCUUUAGUCAAGGGUAUACAAGUAGCAGCAUGCCCCCGCUAGAACCUUCAAAUAAGCUCUCAGUGUCUAUUUCUAGGACAACAUAGGGUAGUCAAGGUCCCAAGACUCCAGAUGCAGGCAAAUGAGGCGCUGCCUGUGGCAGUCUGUCUUUCUCU